GUGUCAGCCGCCGCGGUAAUACGUAGGGGGCAAGCGUUGUCCGGAUUCAUUGGGCGUAAAGAGCGUGUAGGCGGCUUGGCAAGUCCGUUGUGAAAACUGGAGGCUUAACCUCCAGACGUCGAUGGAAACUGCCUGGCUAGAGUCCGGAAGAGGAGAGUGGAAUUCCUGGUGUAGCGGUGAAAUGCGCAGAUAUCAGGAAGAACACCCGUGGCGAAGGCGGCUCUCUGGGACGGUACUGACGCUGAGACGCGAAAGCGUGGGGAGCGAACAGGAUUAGAAACCCUCGUAGUCC
rnacentral:rRNA from 1 species